GUACAGUUCAUCAGAUCUCGAAGUGUGAUCCUACAUUCUCAGCCCGCUAAUCGUCCUGGGCAGUCGACUAGGAUAGACGCUAAGUGCUCAUCACAGGAGUGACUCUCGCGGGCAGAUUCUGUUAGACUAACACCGACAGAACUUUCUUCCCCCACCGAUAGCUAGAGACGUUGCAUUUUAGUGAGCUGGUGACGCUUGCUCAGUGAAGCACUAUCUUCAAUUACUAGGUGGAUAUUCGUCCAUAGAUGACACUGUGUGCGGGAAGAGCACUCUAAAUGCUACCCGGGCAUAUCCCCGGUGGUGGAUUUAUAAAAAGGUCCCCUUUUGAAAAGCCUGUGGGCAAGCACCCCAAAGGUCUUGGGUACAAUCAAUGAAGUGGGUUAAGGGAACUAGCUAACCCCCCUCCGGUGGAUAAGGGAUGCUUAAACCAAAAGCCCCCCUUUGCCAAAGGGUUUCAAGGGGGCAAUUGUGUGCUGAGGAAAUGCUUCACCAUUCUCGGUAUCAAGCAUUGGAAACUCAAUUCUGGGCCCAAAUGGUACAGAUGGAAUCCAGUGCGAAGUGGCCAGCAGCCGCCGGUAAUCCAGCUCCAAUAGCGUAUAUUUAAAGUUGUUGCAGUUAAAAAGUUGGUAGUUGGAUUUCGGCCGGCGUUUAACCGGUCCGCCUAUGUUUAAGUAUUCCUGUGGCCUAUUUUUACUGUCGGGGACCUGCUUUUUGGGCUUCAUUGUCCGGGAACAGGGGAUUGGGCAUGGUUACUUCCAUUAAAUUAGAGUUUUAAAUGCAGGCUCACGCCCGUGAAUACUUUUGGCAUGGAAUUACAUGAUACGAUUCUGCCCCUAUUCUGUUGGCCUGUAGGGGUGGAGUAAUGAUUAAGAGGAACAGUCGGGGGCAUUAGUAUUUCAUUGUCAGAGGUGAAAUUCUUGGAUUUAUGAAAGACGAACUACUGCGAAAGCAUUUGCCAAGGAUGUUUUCAUUAAUCAAGAACGAAAGUUGGGGGCUCGAAGACGAUUAGAUACCGUCGUAGUCUCAACCAUAAACGAUGCCGACUAGGGAUUGGCGGACGUUUUUGCAUGACUCCGUCAGCACCUUGAGAGAAAUCAAAGUUUUUGGGUUCCGGGGGGAGUAUGGUCGCAAGGCUGAAACUUAAAGGAAUUGACGGAAGGGCACCACCAGGCGUGGAGCCUGCGGCUUAAUUUGACUCAACACGGGUAAUAACAUAUAGCACAGGCUACGCAGAGCAUAGGAAGGAUUAGACAGAUUGAGAGCUCUCGCUAAGGUGAUGCCCCGA
rnacentral:rRNA from 1 species